rnacentral:rRNA from 1 species
GACGAAGGUGGCAAGCGUUGUUCGGAAUUACUGGGCAUAAAGCGCGCGUAGGUGGCUUGGUAUGUCAAUGGUGAAAUCCUAUGGCUCAACCAUAGAACUGCCGUUGAAACUGCCUUGCUUGAGUUCAGGAGGGGAGAGUGGAAUUCCAAGUGUAGCGGUGAAAUGCGUAGAUAUUUGGAGGAACGCCGGAGGCGAAAGCGACUCUCUGGACUGACACUGACACUGAGGCGCGAAAGCUAGGGGAGCAAACAGGAUUAGAUACCCGCGUA